rnacentral:rRNA from 1 species
UACGUAGGGUGCGAGCGUUAAUCGGAAUUACUGGGCGUAAAGCGUGCGCAGGCGGCCGCGCAAGUCGAGUGUGAAAUCCCCGAGCUUAACUUGGGAAUUGCGCUCGAAACUACGUGGCUGGAGUGUGGCAGAGGAAGGUGGAAUUCCACGUGUAGCGGUGAAAUGCGUAGAUAUGUGGAGGAACACCGAUGGCGAAGGCAGCCUUCUGGGCCAACACUGACGCUCAUGCACGAAAGCGUGGGGAGCAAACAGG